GGACUACCAGGGUAUCUAAUCCUGUUUGCUCCCCACGCUUUCGCGCCUCAGCGUCAGUUACGGUCCAGAGAGCCGCCUUCGCCACCGGUGUUCUUCCCAAUAUCUACGAAUUUCACCUCUACACUGGGAAUUCCACUCUCCUCUCCCGUACUCCAGCCUCAGAGUAUCAAGCGCAAUUCCCAGGUUAAGCCCGGGGCUUUCACGCCUGACUACUAAGGCCGCCUGCGCGCCCUUUACGCCCAGUAAAUCCGAACAACGCUCGCCCCCUUCGUAUUACCGCGGCUGCUGGCAC
rnacentral:rRNA from 1 species